UACGGAGGGGACUAGCGUUGUUCGGAAUUACUGGGCGUAAAGCGCACGUAGGCGGAUUUGUAAGUCAGGGGUGAAAUCCCGGGGCUCAACCUCGGAACUGCCUUUGAUACUGCAAAUCUCGAGUCCGGAAGAGGUGAGUGGAAUUCCUGGUGUAGCGGUGAAAUGCGCAGAUAUCAGGAAGAACACCUAUGGCGAAGGCAGCUCUCUGGGACGGUACUGACGCUGAGACGCGAAAGCGUGGGGAGCGAACAGG
rnacentral:rRNA from 1 species